UGGGGAAUAUUGGACAAUGGGCGAAAGCCUGAUCCAGCCAUGCCGCGUGUGUGAAGAAGGUCUUCGGAUUGUAAAGCACUUUAAGUUGGGAGGAAGGGCAGUUACCUAAUACGUGAUUGUUUUGACGUUACCGACAGAAUAAGCACCGGCUAACUCUGUGCCAGCAGCCGCGGUAAUACAGAGGGAGCAAGCGUUAAUCGGAAUUACUGGGCGUAAAGCGCGCGUAGGUGGUUUGUUAAGUUGGAUGUGAAAUCCCCGGGCUCAACCUGGGAACUGCAUUCAAAACUGACUGACUAGAGUAUGGUAGAGGGUGGUGGAAUUUCCUGUGUAGCGGUGAAAUGCGUAGAUAUAGGAAGGAACACCAGUGGCGAAGGCGACCACCUGGACUAAUACUGACACUGAGGUGCGAAAGCGUGGGGAGCAAACA
rnacentral:rRNA from 1 species